AGCGAACGCUGGCGGCAGGCUUAACACAUGCAAGUCGAGCGGGCAUCCUUGUGGUGUCAGCGGCAGACGGGUGAGUAACGCGUGGGAACGUGCCCUUCGGUUCGGAAUAACUCAGGGAAACUUGAGCUAAUACCGGAUACGUGCGAGAGCAGAAAGGUUUAUCUGCCGAAGGAUCGGCCCGCGUCUGAUUAGCUAGUUGGUGAGGUUACGGCUCACCAAGGCGACGAUCAGUAGCUGGUCAGAGAGGAUGAUCAGCCACACUGGGACUGAGACACGGCCCAGACUCCUACGGGAGGCAGCAGUGGGGAAUAUUGGACAAUGGGGGCAACCCUGAUCCAGCCAUGCCGCGUGAGUGAUGACGGCCUUAGGGUUGUAAAGCUCUUUUCUCCGGGACGAUAAUGACGGUACCGGAGGAAUAAGCCCCGGCUAACUUCGUG
rnacentral:rRNA from 1 species